rnacentral:rRNA from 1 species
GGCGGACGGGUGAGUAAUGCUUAGGAAUCUGCCUAUUAGUGGGGGACAACAUCUCGAAAGGGAUGCUAAUACCGCAUACGUCCUACGGGAGAAAGCAGGGGACCUUCGGGCCUUGCGCUAAUAGAUGAGCCUAAGUCGGAUUAGCUAGUUGGUGGGGUAAAGGCCUACCAAGGCGACGAUCUGUAGCGGGUCUGAGAGGAUGAUCCGCCACACUGGGACUGAGACACGGCCCAGACUCCUACGGGAGGCAGCAGUGGGGAAUAUUGGACAAUGGGGGGAACCCUGAUCCAGCCAUGCCGCGUGUGUGAAGAAGGCCUUUUGGUUGUAAAGCACUUUAAGCGAGGAGGAGGCUACCGAGAUUAAUACUCUUGGAUAGUGGACGUUACUCGCAGAAUAAGCACCGGCUAACUCUGUGCCAGCAGCCGCGGUAAUACAGAGGGUGCAAGCGUUAAUCGGAUUUACUGGGCGUAAAGCGCGCGUAGGUGGCCAAUUAAGUCAAAUGUGAAAUCCCCGAGCUUAACUUGGGAAUUGCAUUCGAUACUGGUUGGCUAGAGUAUGGGAGAGGAUGGUAGAAUUCCAGGUGUAGCGGUGAAAUGCGUAGAGAUCUGGAGGAAUACCGAUGGCGAAGGCAGCCAUCUGGCCUAAUACUGACACUGAGGUGCGAAAGCAUGGGGAGCAAACAGGAUUAGAUACCCUGGUAGUCC